GGGAGCAAAACCCAACACGGACCAUUCCUUAGCUUGAUCUCCUGCACACUACAGAUACUUUGUUCUUCUGAAUAUGGCCAUCAAGCUCCCAGUACUUCUUCUGACAGAAUUUGGAUUGAAGACCAGCUACCCAACCUGAGGGCUAUUUCACAAAAACGAGGAUCUGGGUGGCUCAGGCUCUGUGCUCUCUUUGCUCACAUCUUACUUGACAGACCGAACCUACAGGGUAACUUGGAGAGGAUCUACCUCAAAACCUUGCCCACUCAAAACUGGGGUUCCUCAGGGAUCAGUACUGGGCCACCUCCUCUUUUCUCUGUACACCAAAUCUCUCAGGUUGCACGGCUUUUUGCAUCACAGCUACGCAGAUGACACCCAACUAAUUCUCUCUAUUCCCUGAGUUUGAAACUCAAGUAGUAGCAUGUAUCUCGGCUUGUCUGACUGACAUUUCUUCUUGUAUGUCUACACACCAUCUGAACUCAACCUUGACAAGACAAAGCUCCUUUUCCUUUCAGGAAAGGGCUCUCCUACCCAAGACCUGACUAUAACAAUUGACCACCCAGACUGCUAGAAACCUGG